GUCUAGGAGCAGACGUUAAAAAUGUCAAAGUGUUCUGUGAGAAAUUGUAAAAAUAUUACGUCAAGAAGGCUAAAAAGGAUGGGAUAUCGUAUUUUCGAUAGUACUCACCAUAAGAAAGCGUUUUGUAAAGUAUUAAGUUGAAACUUACGGUUCAUGAGAUAUAUUUAUUUACACUUUCCAUACAAAUGGACAAAUAUCAUGCCUAAGCACGCCAACAAUAACAAUUAACACGAUGAAUUUGACAAGUAACUGAUGUCAUACGUCAACCAUUGCACGUAUCGAUUAGUGAAGGAUUCGAAAAAUUUGACGUAUCGAUACUACUAAACUUUCCAAUAUGGACCAUAGAUUAUUUGUAACUUAUGAUCAAAUUAAUUUAUGUAUGACUGUGUUUAUGAUAAUUGUGUAAUGUGUACUUCAUAAUAUUUUUUUUGUAUAUUUAAUAAUAUUAUAUUAAUAAAAUGAUUAAUUAAAUCUACUAUUUAUUCAAUGACUGCCUAAUAAAAACGUAGUAACCUUAAAUACAUGGCUAAGCAGAAAUAAAAAAUAUAUAUGCUGUGUUUCUAUAUAGGGUCCUUGUCGUUGAUAUAAAUGUGACAUUCUUCUUCAAAGGCAGAAAAAUCUAACCAGGAUUUUUUGAACAUUGGAACCUACUUAUAAAAUAGGAUGAAUCUACUGGAGACAAGACAUGAUGAAGAGUGGAUUGAAAAAUUGGUUCUGAGAUAAAAAUUGUAACCUGACACCUUCAGGAGUGAUUUGAGAGCGGAAUCCACUGUGAGAUUUUGUAAAGUGAGUUACAGAAUCAACCGGCAGUCUUCUUUUUAUUUUAGUCGCAUUUUAAAAAUGACCCUGUUCUAAUAAGUGGUUGAUUUUUUUAUUUGUGUUUUUUAAUUGACUGUGACAAUUCAAAAGUGCCUGUAACUGGCCUACUUGAUUUGAUUUUUGCAAAAUAAAUACCAUUCAUCAUUAUCAUUUUGAACCAAAUAUUUGAAUAAACAAUUUUAACAGUUAUUAUUG